AAAUAUAUUAAACCCUUUAUUACUACUGAAUGACUCUAUAACCUAUAGAAGUCCUGAUACUAGAACUAGUAACAAGAAAUAGCAUUUCUCCAAAAUAUAAACAUAAGCCUAAACGGACAAACCAUUGGCAAGUAACGUCUAUUAAAUCACUGUAGUAACCCCACAAGAAAACUCUACAAAUACAAACGUUAACCUUACACAAGUAUAUUUCAGGAAAGAUUAAAAGAAAGGGAAGGAACUCGGCAAAUCUCAACCCCGCCUGUUUACCAAAAACAUCGCCUCUUGAUAAACUAUAAGAGGUCCAGCCUGCCCAGUGAUAUAAUUAAACGGCCGCGGUACCCUGACCGUGCGAAGGUAGCAUAAUCACUUGUUCUUUAAAUAAGGACUAGUAUCAAUGGCAUCACGAGGGUUUUACUGUCUCCCCUCUCUAAUCAGUGAAACUGACUUCCCCGUGAAGAGGCGGGGAUAUAAUUACAAGACGAGAAGACCCCAUGGAGCUUUAAACCCACUAACAACCUCUAACUAAACACACCCACGUAAAUGAAGCGUAAUGUACAGUGGUUUUAGGUUGGGGUGACCACGGAGUAAAACCAAACCUCCAUGACGAACGGAAAUUCAUCCUAAUCCAUGAGCCACCACUCUAAGAAUCAAAAACUUGACAUAAUAUGAUCCGGUAACCGAUCAACGAACCAAGUUACCCUGGGGAUAACAGCGCAAUCCAUUUCAAGAGCCCCUAUCGACAAAUGGGUUUACGACCUCGAUGUUGGA
rnacentral:rRNA from 1 species